rnacentral:rRNA from 1 species
UACAGAGGGUGCUAGCGUUAUUCGGAUUUACUGGGCGUAAAGGGUGCGCAGGCGGCCGUGUGUGUGAGGCGUGAAAGCCCGGGGCUUAACCCCGGAAUUGCACCUCAAACUACACGGCUAGAGCAUUGGAGAGGGUAGCGGAAUUCACGGUGUAGCAGUGAAAUGCGUAGAUAUCGUGAGGAACACCAGAGGCGAAGGCGGCUACCUGGACAAUUGCUGACGCUCAGGCACGAAAGCGUGGGGAGCAAAAGGG